rnacentral:rRNA from 1 species
CGACCGGCGCACGGGUGAGUAACACGUAUCCAACCUGCCGUCUACUCUUGGACAGCCUUCUGAAAGGGAGAUUAAUACAAGAUGGCAUCAUGAGUCCGCAUGUUCACAUGAUUAAAGGUAUUCCGGUAGACGAUGGGGAUGCGUUCCAUUAGAUAGUAGGCGGGGUAACGGCCCACCUAGUCUUCGAUGGAUAGGGGUUCUGAGAGGAAGGUCCCCCACAUUGGAACUGAGACACGGUCCAAACUCCUACGGGAGGCAGCAUG